rnacentral:rRNA from 1 species
UACGUAGGGUGCGAGCGUUGUCCGGAAUUAUUGGGCGUAAAGAGCUCGUAGGCGGCCUGUCGCGUCGGUUGUGAAAGCCCGAGGCUUAACCCCGGGUCUGCAGUCGAUACGGGCAGGCUAGAGUUCGGUAGGGGAGAUCGGAAUUCCUGGUGUAGCGGUGAAAUGCGCAGAUAUCAGGAGGAACACCGGUGGCGAAGGCGGAUCUCUGGGCCGAUACUGACGCUGAGGAGCGAAAGCGUGGGGAGCGAACAGG